rnacentral:rRNA from 1 species
GUGCCAGCAGCCGCGGUAAUACGUAGGAUGCAAGCGUUGUCCGGAUUUACUGGGCGUAAAGCGCGCGCAGGCGGCAGUACAAGUACCCUCUGAAAUCUCCUUGCUCAACGAGGAGGGUGGAGGGUAGACUGUGCAGCUAGAGGAGGGUAGAGGGGGGUAGAAUUGCUGGUGUAGCGGUGAAAUGCGUAGAGAUCAGCAGGAAUACCCGUGGCGAAGGCGGCCCCCUGGGCCCUAAAAUCCCCCUUUUGGAAAGCACACCCUUCGGGGUGGAAGCUGCCGAUAGGAAACCUGACGCUGAGGCGCGAAGGCUAGGGGAGCGAACGGGAUUAGAUACCCCCGUAGUCC